rnacentral:tRNA from 1 species
UCUAAAAUGUAACUUAAGAUAAAGUAAUGAAUUUGUAAUUCAAUUAUGGUAAUCAUACCCUUUUAGAA